rnacentral:rRNA from 1 species
GUGGGGAAUAUUGGACAAUGGGCGAAAGCCUGAUCCAGCCAUGCCGCGUGUGUGAAGAAGGUCUUCGGAUUGUAAAGCACUUUAAGUUGGGAGGAAGGGCAUUAACCUAAUACGUUAGUGUUUUGACGUUACCGACAGAAUAAGCACCGGCUAACUUCGUGCCAGCAGCCGCGGUAAUACGAAGGGUGCAAGCGUUAAUCGGAAUUACUGUGCGUAAAGCGCGCGUAGGUGGUUCGUUAAGUUGGAUGUGAAAGCCCCGGGCUCAACCUGGGAACUGCAUCCAAAACUGGCGAGCUAGAGUACGGUAGAGGGUGGUGGAAUUUCCUGUGUAGCGGUGAAAUGCGUAGAUAUAGGAAGGAACACCAGUGGCGAAGGCGACCACCUGGACUGAUACUGACACUGAGGUGCGAAAGCGUGGGGAGCAAACAGGAUUAGAUACCCUUGUAGUCC